AUGGACGCCUCCAUCUGUGGAGGAAGCUCAUGUGUUGUCACUGACAGCUCCUCAACAGGUACUGGCUGUAUCUCAUGGACUAAUAAAGUGUGCAAAAAAAAUUGUUUGUUUGUUUCAGAGUCAGAGAGCCGUGUCUCUCUACAGUCAGAGGUUUUUGUACGGCGGCUCAAUGAGUUUGUAUCACUGUGGUACACGUUCGGUGGAGGAACCAGACUGGAAUUUGGAAGUGAUGUCCGUCCCACCCUGACAGUGCUCGCCCCUUCCAGUAAGGAGCUGGAGCAGGGGAAUGCCACGCUCACAUGUCUGGCCAACAAGGGCUUUCCCUCAGACUGGAGUCUGUCCUGGAUCGUUGACGGCCGCAGAUGCAGCGGCAUUGAUUGGGAAGUGAGCAGGAGCCCCGGGGUGCAGCAGACAGACAGGCUCUACAGCUGGAGCAGCACCCUGAUGCUGCCUGCAGACCAGUGGGAGAAGGUGGGCUCUGUGACCUGUGAGGCCACGAGGGGCUCCCAGACUCCAUUCUCAGAGACACUGAGGAGAGACCAGUGUUCCCAGUCCUGACCUGAUUCACUGGGGGCAUGAUGCUGUUUUUUGUUGUUGUUCUUGUUUUUCAAACUUUGCUACAGCUCUCAGUCUGCAGUCUUUUUCAAUCUCAGUCUCUUUACUCUUAAUCGGUUUGUUGCCUGUUUUAUCAAGUUGUCAAGAUUUUACAGCAAUAAAGAUGUUUCA